rnacentral:rRNA from 1 species
ACAUGCAAGUCGAGCGGAUGAGAGGAGCUUGCUCCUUGAUUUAGCGGCGGACGGGUGAGUAAUGCCUAGGAAUCUGCCUGGUAGUGGGGGAUAACGUUCCGAAAGGAACGCUAAUACCGCAUACGUCCUACGGGAGAAAGCAGGGGACCUUCGGGCCUUGCGCUAUCAGAUGAGCCUAGGUCGGAUUAGCUAGUUGGUGAGGUAAUGGCUCACCAAGGCGACGAUCCGUAACUGGUCUGAGAGGAUGAUCAGUCACACUGGAACUGACACACGGUCCAUACUCCUACGGGAGGCAUCAGUGGGGAAUAUUGGACAAUGGGCGAAAGCCUGAUCCAGCCAUGCCGCGUGUGUGAAGAAGGUCUUCUGAUUGUAAAGCACUUUAAGUUGGGAGGAAGGGCAUUAACCUAAUACGUUAGUGUUUUGACGUUACCGACCGAAUAAGCACCGGCUAACUUCGUGCCAGCAGCCGCGGUAAUACCAAGGGUGCAAGCGUUAAUCUGAAUUACUGGGCGUAAAGCGCGCGUACGUGGUUCGUUAACUUGGAUGUGAAAACCCCGGGCUCAACCUGGGAACUGCAUCCAAAACUGGCGAGCUAGAGUACGGUAGAGGGUGGUGGAAUUUCCUGUGUGCGGUGAAAUGCGUAGAUAUAAGAAGGAACACCAGUGGCGAAACGACCACCUGGACUGAUACUGACACUGAGUGCGAAAGCGUGGGGAGCAAACAGGAUUAGAUACCCUGGUAGUCCACGCCGUAAACGAUGUCAACUAGCCGUUGGGUGCUUUGAGAACUUAGUGUCGCAGCUAAUGCAUUAAGAUGACCGCCUGUAGACUAUGGCCCGCGAGGUUAAAACUCAAUGAAUUGACAGGGGACCGCACAAGCGGUGGCACAUGUGGUUUAAUUCGAAGCAAUCGAAUAACCUUACCUGGCCUUGACAUGCUGAGAACUUGUCCAGAGAUGGAUUGGCUGCCUUCUGGAACUCA